AGAGUUUGAUCAUGGCUCAGGACGAACGCUGGCGGCGUGCUUAACACAUGCAAGUCAAGGGGGCCCAGCAAUGGGCAACCGGCGAACGGGUGCGUAACACGUGAGCAACCUACCGAACUGUGGGGGAUAGCCGGCCUAACGGCCGAGUAAUACCGCAUACGCUCUCAGGGAGGCAUUUCUUUGAGAGGAAACCUACGGGACAGAUCGAGGGGCUCGCGGCCUAUCAGCUAGUUGGCGAGGUAACGGCUCACCAAGGCGACGACGGGUAGCUGGUCUGAGAGGAUGGCCAGCCACAUUGGGACUGAGAUACGGCCCAGACUCCUACGGGAGGCAGCAGUGGGGAAUCUUGCGCAAUGGCCUAACGGCUGACGCAGCGACGCCGCGUGUGGGAUGAAGCUCCUCGGAGUGUAAACCACUGUUGCCCGGGACGAACAGCUCGAUUUCUCGAGCCUGACGGUACCGGGUGAGGAAGCACCGGCUAACUCCGUGCCAGCAGCCGCGGUAAUACGGGGGGUGCGAGCGUUGUCCGGAAUCACUGGGCGUAAAGGGCGCGUAGGUGGUUUGAUAAGGGUGUGGUGAAAGUCCGGGGCUCAACCCCGGAUCUGCCGUGCCGACUGUCAAACUCGAGGACUGUAGAGGCAGACGGAAUUCCGGGUGUAGCGGUGGAAUGCGUAGAGAUCCGGAGGAAGACCGGUGGCGAAGGCGGUCUGCUGGGCAGUUUCUGACACUGAGGCGCGACAGCGUGGGGAGCAAACAGGAUUAGAUACCCUGGUAGUCCACGCCGUAAACGAUGGGUACUA
rnacentral:rRNA from 1 species